rnacentral:rRNA from 1 species
UACGUAGGUCCCGAGCGUUGUCCGGAUUUAUUGGGCGUAAAGCGAGCGCAGGUGGUUUAUUAAGUCUGGUGUAAAAGGCAGUGGCUCAACCAUUGUAUGCAUUGGAAACUGGUAGACUUGAGUGCAGGAGAGGAGAGUGGAAUUCCAUGUGUAGCGGUGAAAUGCGUAGAUAUAUAGAGGAACACCGGUGGCGAAAGCGGCUCUCUGGCCUGUAACUGACACUGAGGCUCGAAAGCGUGGGUAGCAAACAGG